UGGGACUAGAUGCUGCCGUUUGGAGGACACAGCGAGCGCAUGUUAAUAGGAGGCCACGUGCGUCUUUGUGUGCAUGUAAUGCUGCAUAUGCCUUUGCUCGGGGCUGGAUGUGAAGCCAUAAUUAACACAAUGGGAUGAUUAGCCAUGCAGACGCGCGGCCACCGGCUCCCCAAAGAGAAAAGGGGGGAAUGAAGACGUGGAGGAUCCAGAAUGAGGCACGUUCCUCUUUUCCUGCCGUCUGCUACUGUACUCAGACCGGAUGCCUCCACUGUCUCCAGCUCCCUUUAAAUCAGUGGGCUUCUGUCUCAGGACAGUACACGCAUGCUGGAGAUGUCUCACUCCAGCGUGACUCCACCAUGCAGAAUUAAAAACGUGCUGUAAUGGAGACGAUAGCGUUGCUUUUUGGAGCUCUCUCUCUCUCUCUUGGGAACCCAAUAUCACAGUGACACGUCUCAUAACGUCUAGACUCCAUAGCAGACACCAACUUUGAUUGGUUUUGGUGAGAACUGUAAUUGCACAAUGGUAAAAAGAUAAAAAAAAAAUAAUCUGAGUGAUGAAAUGCCGGAGGGGAACUUCAUUUGUAAGUGAAUUGUGAGGCCAGUGUGUUUUAAAGGGACGCUGAGUGCGAGUUUGGACGGGAUCGAUGUGCAUGUAGGAAUCCCAAUGGUGAUCAAUGAGAAUGGAUUUAGGGAGAGGGCGGCGUCGCUGCGGCGCCACGGCGACCGAAGCUGCUGAAAUAGACUUUAUGAAUAUUAAACGGCACGAGGUCGAUACCGGGACAGGACGGCUGCAGUCGACGCAGGGACACGCUGCCCUGUGAGCGUGUGAGCGCGAGAGAGCGGGAGUUCAUUCAGACGGAUUUAAACAGAUUCUCAUAAAGUAAGCGACUCUCGUUAAUCAGUUAUUCGUCACCAAAAGCUCUGUGAACGCUCUUCGGCCUCCAGCUCCUCCACUGCUGACGAGCUCAACGCCGCCAUGGGAAGUAGAGACUUCCUGUGGUGCUGGGACGAUCGGAGGCCCGCGUGGCAGGAUGGAGCCCAGCAUUAUGCAAACGACACAGCAGGGUCAAUGGGGCUCAUUGAUCGUCCAGCUUCUGGUGGACGCCACAUGAAGGACGGAACAAAACAGCGGGGCAUGAAGGCAGAGUCGACUGGAUCUGAAGGAGCAGGAGUCCUCCAGGCGCUGGAGAUACAAGCAGGGAGAAGAAAGGGAACAGGAGAUUGAGGCAGACACAGCAAACAGGAACUCUCCCAGGAGUGCUUCAGCCAAAUGUAUUUAAAUGUAUUCUGCUAAUUACAAAACUCUAAACACACACACGCUGAUGCAAACACUGUCUGGCGUUUUGUAGCACUGUUGUACUGGGGUAAUUACAUGCACUGCUUUACACGCGUGUCUGUGAGCGAUGCCGGUGUAUAGGUGUGUGCGUGUGCGUGUGCGUGUACGUCUGCGUCUGAGGCAGAGACGAUAAAAACGCUUACAUGCUGCAGACGCGAUAAGUGGAGUCUUCUCCACAAAGAUGAAGUAGUAUGGAUUAAAGCGGAGCAUGCGGGUGGUUGGCUGCUCCUGAAUCGAGAUGCCGUUACAGCUCAAACAAAAACAUUCACUGCAGAGAUUCCCUUCGAAAUCACUCUCGUGACUGGGAAAAGCCUGGUUCAUAGACUCCGCUCUGCACUUGUUUUGACAGGUCGGACGAACACAGAGGAAGACGCGGUGACGUCGCGUGGGAGCAGAGUGCUCUUUUAAUAGGAUGAAGAGCAGCUCUCGAUAGUUGGUUUCUAACCAGCUGGUCCUGAGAUCCCUCUGAUUUAUUGACCAUUGUCUGUCUGGACACCGUCCCGUGUCC
rnacentral:lncRNA from 1 species